UCCUGGCUCAGAUUGAACGCUGGCGGCAUGCUUUACACAUGCAAGUCGAACGGCAGCACGGGCUUCGGCCUGGUGGCGAGUGGCGAACGGGUGAGUAAUGCAUCGGAACGUGCCCAUGUUGUGGGGGAUAACUACGCGAAAGCGUGGCUAAUACCGCAUACGCCCUGAGGGGGAAAGCGGGGGAUUCUUCGGAACCUCGCGCAAUUGGAGCGGCCGAUGUCAGAUUAGCUUGUUGGUGAGGUAAAGGCUCACCAAGGCGACGAUCUGUAGCGGGUCUGAGAGGAUGAUCCGCCACACUGGGACUGAGACACGGCCCAGACUCCUACGGGAGGCAGCAGUGGGGAAUUUUGGACAAUGGGGGCAACCCUGAUCCAGCCAUGCCGCGUGAGUGAAGAAGGCCUUCGGGUUGUAAAGCUCUUUCAGCCGGGAAGAAAACGCACGCUCUAACAUAGCGUGUGGAUGACGGUACCGGACCAAGAAGCACCGGCUAACUACGUG
rnacentral:rRNA from 1 species